UCAUGAUGAACGCUAGCUACAGGCUUAACACAUGCAAGUCGAGGGGCAGCAUGGUCUUAGCUUGCUAAGGCCGAUGGCGACCGGCGCACGGGUGAGUAACACGUAUCCAACCUGCCGUCUACUCUUGGACAGCCUUCUGAAAGGAAGAUUAAUACAAGAUGGCAUCAUGAGUCCGCAUGUUCACAUGAUUAAAGGUAUUCCGGUAGACGAUGGGGAUGCGUUCCAUUAGAUAGUAGGCGGGGUAACGGCCCACCUAGUCUUCGAUGGAUAGGGGUUCUGAGAGGAAGGUCCCCCACAUUGGAACUGAGACACGGUCCAAACUCCUACGGGAGGCAGCAGUGAGGAAUAUUGGUCAAUGGGCGAGAGCCUGAACCAGCCAAGUAGCGUGAAGGAUGACUGCCCUAUGGGUUGUAAACUUCUUUUAUAAAGGAAUAAAGUCGGGUAUGCAUACCCGUUUGCAUGUACUUUAUGAAUAAGGAUCGGCUAACUCCGUGCCAGCAGCCGCGGUAAUACGGAGGAUCCGAGCGUUAUCCGGAUUUAUUGGGUUUAAAGGGAGCGUAGAUGGAUGUUUAAGUCAGUUGUGAAAGUUUGCGGCUCAACCGUAAAAUUGCAGUUGAUACUGGAUAUCUUGAGUGCAGUUGAGGCAGGCGGAAUUCGUGGUGUAGCGGUGAAAUGCUUAGAUAUCACGAAGAACUCCGAUUGCGAAGGCAGCCUGCUAAGCUGCAACUGACAUUGAGGCUCGAAAGUGUGGGUAUCAAACAGGAUUAGAUACCCUGGUAGUCCACACGGUAAACGAUGAAUACUCGCUGUUUGCGAUAUACAGCAAGCGGCCAAGCGAAAGCGUUAAGUAUUCCACCUGGGGAGUACGCCGGCAACGGUGAAACUCAAAGGAAUUGACGGGGGCCCGCACAAGCGGAGGAACAUGUGGUUUAAUUCGAUGAUACGCGAGGAACCUUACCCGGGCUUAAAUUGCAGAUGAAUUACGGUGAAAGCCGUAAGCCGCAAGGCAUCUGUGAAGGUGCUGCAUGGUUGUCGUCAGCUCGUGCCGUGAGGUGUCGGCUUAAGUGCCAUAACGAGCGCAACCCUUGUUGUCAGUUACUAACAGGUCAUGCUGAGGACUCUGACAAGACUGCCAUCGUAAGAUGUGAGGAAGGUGGGGAUGACGUCAAAUCAGCACGGCCCUUACGUCCGGGGCUACACACGUGUUACAAUGGGGGGUACAGAGGGCCGCUACCACGCGAGUGGAUGCCAAUCCCCAAAACCUCUCUCAGUUCGGACUGGAGUCUGCAACCCGACUCCACGAAGCUGGAUUCGCUAGUAAUCGCGCAUCAGCCACGGCGCGGUGAAUACGUUCCCGGGCCUUGUACACACCGCCCGUCAAGCCAUGGGAGCCGGGGGUACCUGAAGUGCGUAACCGCGAGGAGCGCCCUAGGGUA
rnacentral:rRNA from 1 species